UACGAAGGGGGCUAGCGUUGUUCGGAUUAACUGGGCGUAAAGGGCGCGUAGGCGGGACUUUAAGUCAGGGGUGAAAUCCCAAGGCUCAACCUUGGAACUGCCUUUGAUACUGGAGAUCUUGAGUCCGGGAGAGGUGAGUGGAACUGCGAGUGUAGAGGUGAAAUUCGUAGAUAUUCGCAAGAACACCAGUGGCGAAGGCGGCUCACUGGCCCGGUACUGACGCUGAGACGCGAAAGCGUGGGGAGCGAACAGG
rnacentral:rRNA from 1 species